UAAACCGAUAGAAAAUGUUCACUCUUCAUUGGUAUCGAAGUUGUCCAGCAAAACUAUCAAGAUGGAAGCUAAAAUUCUUCUGAUCCUCUGCUUGGUUGGCAUGGCCCUGAGCAGUCCUGUGCCCAGUGGUAAGUUUCUUAUGUACAUUUUUAACAAGUAAUUUAAA